ACGAACGCUGGCGGCGUGCUUAAUACAUGCAAGUCAACUUGACUUUAGAUAGCAAUAUCGAAAAGUAGGGUGGCGCACGGGUGCGUAACGCGUAGGUAAUCUGCCCUGAGGUCUGACAUAACCCGUCGAAAGGCGGGCUAACAUCAGAUGAUAUAUAAUCACGACAUCGUGGAAAUAUCAAAUCUUCGGAGCCUUGGGAUGAGCCUGCGUCUGAUUAGGUAGUUGGCGGAGUAAUAGCCCACCAAGCCUACGAUCAGUAGCUGGUCUGAGAGGAUGAUCAGCCACACUGGAACUGAGACACGGUCCAGACUCCUACGGGAGGCAGCAGUAAGGAAUAUUGCUCAAUGGGGGGAAACCCUGAAGCAGCAACGCCGCGUGAAGGAUGAAAUACUUUUGUAUGUAAACUUCUGUAAGAUGGGAAAAAUAUUCUCCUCGGGAGAAUUGAUUGUACCAUCAGAGUAAGCCCCGGCUAACUACGUG
rnacentral:rRNA from 1 species